rnacentral:tRNA from 1 species
GCCUGGGUGGCUCAGUCGGUUAAGCAUCUGACUUCGGCUCAGGUCAUGAUCUCGCGGUCCGUGGGUUCAAGCCCCGCAUCGGGCU